AUUUUAUGGAUGAUGUAGAACAAAUAGGUUACUUACAAAAAAAUUAUAAAAUUACUAAGUGGUAGGAUGAAAAUUUCCAUCCAUGGAUGGAAUCAAGGUUCUUUCCAGUACUUUAUAUGGCCUUUUGUUCUUGAGAAAGGUGAGAUUCUCACCACCUAAUUGUAGCUCCAAUAAUAAGGGUAUCAUCCAUUCUAACUUCCCUCAAGAAAGCUAAAGGAUGCCUAAAAUAGCAAGACCUAAUGGACAUAAGUUCAACCAACCUUCAGAAAUCUUGUCAACGCAGAGCUUCAUACAUCUACUAACUAAUCGGAUUUGUUAUGUAGGUCAUGGUCUUUAUACCUUCCUUUGUCUAACUAGAGACACCAGCAAUCAAAUAGAUAAAUUCAACACCGAAUAAAAGGAAAGAUGGUUAGAAAAGAAUACUGAAUACAUAACAAAAGGAAAGAGGUUGAGAAUGGCCUGCAAAGAUCAAGAUCAAGAUCAAGCAUAGCAGGGACAUCCUUUUGUAAUGACCAUGAUUUUGCAGCUCCUCUCAACAAGAAGAGCUGGGUUUCAUGGCUGCUCCUCUGGGUUCCUGCAGAGCUACAUGAAUUGAUGAGAGGAAUGGCCUUUGACCUUCCAGAAAAA